GACUUGGUAGCCUAGUUGUUAAAGGCAGUGUUUCUAGCACGAUGUCUUAGCUUCUAGCUAAUGUUGCUGGUUCAAAUCUUGCCGAAGUUA